rnacentral:piRNA from 1 species
AGAUAGAUAGGGACUGAAACAAGUA